rnacentral:rRNA from 1 species
CCCUUAGAUGUUCUGGGCUGCACGCGCGCUACACUGAUGCGCUCAACGAGUUUAUGACCUUGCCCGGAAGGGUUGGGUAAUCUUCUUAAAACGCAUCGUGAUGGGGAUAGAUUAUUGCAAUUAUUAAUCUUCAACGAGGAAUUCCUAGUAAGCGCGAGUCAACAGCUUGCGUUGAUUACGUCCCUGCCCUUUGUGCACACCGCCCGUCGCUACUACUGAUUGGAUGUUUAAGCGAGGUUCUCGAACUGCUAGCGACUUAGCUUCGGUGAGGUCGCCGUGUGGGAAGUGAACCUAGCUUUGGUGUCUAGAGGAAGUAAAAGUCGUAUCA